GAAGGCCGCUUGCUUGAAGAGGCUAAGUUUAUUAAUCUUUCUCUUACUUCCCUGGGGAAAUGCAUAAAUGCAUUGGCAGAAAACAGUCCUCACAUUCCUAUUAGAGAUUCUAAACUAAUGAGGCUGCUUCGUGAUUCAUUUGGAGGCUCUGCGAAGACAUCACUUAUUGUAACAAUUGGGCCGUCUUCUCGACAUCAUGCUGAAACCUCAAGCACCAUAAUGUUUGGACAACGGGCCAUGAAAGUUGUAAACGUGUUAAAGCUUAAGGAAGAAUUUGAUUAUUACAGUUUUUGUUGGAAGCUUGAGAAUUAGGUGGAGCAUCUAACUGUGGCGAUUGAUAGACAACAAAAGUUGAGGGACAAUGACAGAGUUGAAAUGGAAAAAAACCUCAGAGUGUCAAAAAUCAUUUGCUGAAGCUGAAAAGAGUUUAGUUACAAGGUCUGACGUAGUUGUCGCUCCUGCUGGUAUAUGUUUUAGAGUUUGGAUUUGAUGAUAUUAUGGCUGUGUUUCAGUUCACACUUUCCAACUCCCAGCUUAUUCAUUUUAUUUGGAGCUAUUGGUGCUCUAGUUUUGUCCUUUUUAGGUGUGUGUGCGCGCGCGUGCGUGUAUGCAUGCGUGUGCGUAUGGCAAUAUGUUCUGUUCACCAGCAUUCUUUGUUUAUUUUUCAAAUUACUUUCUCUAAAUAUGUUGCACUUGUUUGUAGUUUCUAGCAAAAGAGAAUGGUCACCUGGAAAUAAAGAUGAAGGGUAUAUUAGAUGAACUGAAGCGUCUAAAAGAUCAUAAUGAUUUUAUGCAUGAUGAAAUUGAACGCUUAGAAAUGAGUCUAAAACACAGCAAGGUAUAUGAAACACACAGUUUCUUGUUUUUCUUAUC